AGCCCAGACAUGGACAUGAUUGACAGAUGGAGAGCUGUCUUGAUUCCAUGGGAGGUGGAGUGAUUUUUCUGGUUAAUUCUGAUAAUGAAUGAGACCCUGGCAUGCUAACUAGUUUGCAAUCCCUGAGUGGUCAGCAUUAAAUUUUGGUCUCUAAACUGAAGCAAUACAGAUUCAAUGUAUGGACCACUCAUAAGGAACUGCCUGACUGGUUGCAACCAAAGAGUUGUGAUCAAUGGCU
rnacentral:ncRNA from 1 species